CCGCGCAGCCGGGGAGAUAGCGGUGCCCUGUACCUGCAACCCGCUACAGCAGGGGUGAUGUCGCACAGAGGGUCUCGCCGGGGGAGCUGCCUCUCAAAAGUGGUGUUGACGCCCGGGUCUUAUGCAAUAGGACGCUGUGAACCAUGUCAGGUCGGGAACGAAGCAGCAUUAAGCAGAUUGUUUUAUGUGACAUAAGGGUGCCCUGGAAGAGCUAACUGUGGGAGUAACGUCCUUUCGUCGGAUUCGAAGGAAGACGCGCGG
rnacentral:SRP_RNA from 1 species